GGCUGAAAUUCAGGAAGUAGUGCAGCUGGGCAUAAAGCCUAUUGCUAAGGAGAUCCUCAUCCAGCUCGAUUUUAUUAGAGAGCAGCAGUUGCAGACUUCACCCCAGACCCAACACAUUUUGGGCUCCCACUUUCAACUAUUGAGGAGCUACAAUGUUUGUAGGAGACAUUAAAUAAUCCAGAUGAGAAGAAGAAUUUGGUGAGACUGUUUUUCCUGGAAUGGUCGGAGACAAGACUCUUAAAGACACCGUGGGGUGGGUCCUGAAAAAAACAAUGAACUCUUCGUGGCGAGACUCAUCAAUUGAAGUGGGGUCAACUGAAAGCCUGCAUUCAAAGGGCUCACUUUGAAAAGUGUGGUUUUGGAUGCAGUCCGCCGGAAUGCCCUGACCAAAGAUAACACAGAAAAGGAGAUAGAGCUCCUCAUCACCAGGUGGUCGGUGCUAGCAUAUGACAGGGAUGGUGGCCGAAUCCAGACAAUAGACAGACAAUGAAUUAAAAUGUUUUAAAUUUAAAAAUUUUGAUUUUUGGAAAAUUCGUAUUUGAACUGAUUGUGUGUGUGUGUGUGUGUGUGUGUGCACCUGGUAAUUAUCACGUUGUGUCCCCACAAAGAUAGGAAUACCAGUAUUUUUGUGACCUUGUGUCCCCAUGAGGAAACAAGCUUAUAAAUCAAACAAAAUGAUGUUUCUUGUAAAUGUGAAGUAGGAGAAGGGUUUCUGUGAUGGUUGGGUUUAGGGAAUGGGGUAGGUAAGGGGAAUAAAAUAUACAGUUUGUAUGGUAUAAAAUGCAUUACGUCUAUGGAAUGUCCCAACAAAACAUGGAA